UGAAGACCUCGGUUUACUCGCUCGCUUUUCAUAGAUGUGGCGUGAGUCCGCCACUCCUGCGCUGGAUUCAAGUCGCCUUUACACAUGAGGCAGUUUCUUAUGGUUUCCUGUUCCUAAAGUCGCUGCUGUCGCCCUGUUUAGCUGAGGAGCAAAGCGCUAAGUGCUAAUGGGAGCUUCUUCACAACUGCACGGAUACAUUGAACAGACAACACGAGAACACACGCAACAGUGCAGCCUGGGGGCCUCUGGGGCCUCAUCUGUUGUGUAACACACUUCGUUUAGGUGAAACGCCGACAACAUGACCUUUAGUGUGUCAGGCGACGGCAACAUUAACACAUAAAGACACCAUCCCAAAGAAUGAUCAGACUGUCAGGCAGGCGUCCAGAUGAACACAAUCACGAUCUGCAGCCACUCAGGAAUAUAAAUGACUGAUUUGUGUUUGAGUCCUUGAGCUAUAUGAUUGGAUUCCCAUGCUGAGAAGGUGGUUAUUCAGUCUUUCACUGAACUCAGCGGGGGGGUCAGCUACAGUUUUCUGCAGGCUGUGACGGAGGACCUCGAUGCAGCGCUUGUAGUCUCCUGAGCAUAUCUUGGAAUACAGUGGCGCACAGAAGCCGUUGCUGUGGUUAAUAUCUAUUGACCGCCACCACUUUACUUUACUUUACAUCGUACACAACUUUCCUUGCCAGGAAUGAGCCCCCAUCGUCGGGUCGAGCACUGUUGAGAAACAAAAAAAAAGAAAACCUCUUCGUGCUGAUGUGUGUGAGAUGAGAUACAUAAACU